CAGGGGAGCAGCUACAGAGAGUCCAGACAGCAACUCCCACCCUGCAGAGACAGCCUACAGCUCAGGGAAGUAAGGGAUAGGGGAAAAGGCUGCAAGGAGACAUACACUGAGACAGUAAGGGGCACUGGGAGACAUUAUGGCAGACACUGAGCCACGAAGGGACAUUGGGAGACAUUAUGGCAGACACUGAGACACUAAGGGAAACUGGGAGAUAUUAUGGCAGACACUGAGCCACUAAGGGACAUUGGGAGACAUUAUGGCAGACACUGAGACACUAAGGGAAACUGGG